CUGGCAACUACAUUGGCACCACCGCCAUUGCCCAUGUACAGACCCUGCUGGAAGCCCUUCACAACUCCAGCUCCGCAGAUGGCCCCUAGGCAUUGCAUCACUAUGUAGAAGAUGGCCCGGGUCAGGGACAGCUUCCUGGCCAAGAACAGCCCAAAAGUAACUGCUGGGUUGAUGUGUCCUCCGGAGAUGCCGGCGGUGCAGUAG
rnacentral:misc_RNA from 1 species